rnacentral:rRNA from 1 species
UACGUAGGGUGCAAGCGUUGUCCGGAAUUAUUGGGCGUAAAGAGCUCGUAGGCGGUUUGUCGCGUCUGCUGUGAAAACUCGGGGCUUAACUCCGGGCCUGCAGUGGGUACGGGCAGACUAGAGUGCGGUAGGGGAGACUGGAAUUCCUGGUGUAGCGGUGAAAUGCGCAGAUAUCAGGAGGAACACCGGUGGCGAAGGCGGGUCUCUGGGCCGUAACUGACGCUGAGGUGCGAAAGCCAGGGGAGCGAACGGG